rnacentral:rRNA from 1 species
GACGAACGCUGGCGGCGUGCCUAAUACAUGCAAGUCGAGCGAAGAUUUUCUGGUGCUUUCACUAGAAAAACUUAGCGGCGAACGGGUGAGUAACACGUAAAGAACCUGCCUCAUAAACAGGGACAACCAUUGGAUACGAUAGCUAAUACCGGAUAACAGUAUUUCUCGCAUGAGAGAUAUUUAACAGUUGGUUAUGCUAACACUAUGAGAUGGCUUUGCGGUGCAUUAGCUAGUUGGUGGGGUAAAGGCCCACCAAGGCGACGAUGCAUAGCCGACCUGAGAGGGUGAUCGGCCACACUGGGACUGGGACACGGCCCAGACUCCUACGGGAGGCAGCAGUAGGGAAUCUUCCGCAAUGGGCGAAAGCCUGACGGAGCAACGCCGCGUGAGUGAAGAAGGAUUUCGGUUCGUAAAGCUCUGUUGUUAGGGAAGAAUGGAUAUGUAGUACCUAUACGUGUAAGAGACGGUACCUAACCAGAAAGCAACGGCUAACUACGUG